UUCUGGAGCGUAUGAACAACUUGUUCGUCGACUUGAUGAUGCCUCGGUUCGCAUUGCAGCAGGCGACUGGUCUCAGAGAGUUCUUCACCAAGCUGGGGUUAGGAUCCAUCUUCUCGACGUCAGGACCAGGACCCGACUUCAGUGGCUUGCACGGGCGCCCGUACGUUCCAAUGGGCAACUUGUUUCAGGUCGUCCGCAUCCUCAUGGACGAAGGGGGCGAAGGCGGCCUAUACCAGGGUGAAUGCAUGUUCAACUGUGCCGCCCUUCGACCUGGUGGCCGGCAACCCAUUCGCUUCCACGCUGAACAUCCCUUCUUGUUUUAUGUAAUUCACAUGAAAAGCAAAGCGGUGCUUCUCCUUGGGCGCGUCGUACGGCUCUGAGGGCAUGUCGCGCAGCGCAUGGUUAAGAAAGAUGUGGAAGUGUCGCCGACUUGGGAUAACACUGAUGGGUAGCACUGAUCGCUGCAGCAUACAUUGCCUAAAUUGUACAUUUCUGUAUUUGAAUAAUAUGAGUUUUAACGCA